GUCCGGGAAGAAAGGGCUCCUGCGGGGACUUUGGUCGCACCUGCGUCGUCUGCAGGUGUGACCCCGGCCGGAUGCUGUUCGGUUCAGGUAGGGGGAGGCUGCUGAAGCCCUGGCCUCGGUGCAGGAGUUCAGGGGGCGCAACUAAACCUCAGUAAUUAAAGACACAGAGAGAGAGAGAAGCAGAGACACAGGCAGAGGGAGAAGCAGGCUCCAUGCAGGGAGCCCGACGUGGGACGCGAUCCCGAGUCUCCAGGAUCACGCCCUGGGCUGAAGGCGGGGCUAAACCGCUGAGCCACUGGGGCUGCCCAAAUAUAUAUAUUUUAAAGAU